GCUCACUUCAGCAGCGCAUAUACUAAAACUGGAACACUACAGAGAAGAUUAGCAUGGCCCCUGCGCAAGGAUGGCACACAAACUGAUACAACGCUCCAUGUUAUA